UACGUAGGUGACAAGCGUUGUCCGGAUUUACUGGGCGUAAAGAGCGCGCAGGCGGUCGUUCAAGUCGAGUGUGAAAGCCCCCGGCUCAACUGGGGAGGGUCAUUCGAUACUGAUCGACUCGAAGGCAGGAGAGGGUAGUGGAAUUUACGGUGUAGCGGUGAAAUGCGUAGAUAUCGUAAGGAAGACCAGUGGCGAAGGCGGGUCUCUGGACAGUUCCUGACGCUGAGGCACGAAGGCCAGGGGAGCAAACGGG
rnacentral:rRNA from 1 species